rnacentral:SRP_RNA from 1 species
CCGCGCUAUGCGGGGAGCCAGCGAUGCCCUGUAAUCCGCAAUUCGCUCAGCGGAGCAGAACGCUUAUCAGAGGCUUACCGCGUGGAAGGCCGAAUUAUAUAAGGGGCGUUGAUGUUAAGGUCUUGUGCAACGCGUUCCCGCGAACCGUGUCAGAGCAGGAAUGCAGCAGCACUAAACGGAUAAACGCGUGUGCCAUAAGGUCGCUUUAACGGAGUUACCUGUAUAAUUACCGCUUCGGCGUUGUAAGUCGAUAUAAGUGCGCG